rnacentral:lncRNA from 1 species
GGGUUCGGAUAGGGUAUUUCGGAUUUUUGGGUAUUUCAGUAUAGAGGUGUAGAACCCGUUCGGGUAUUUCUGUACUUCGGGUCGGGUUCAGGUAUUUUUAGUUCGGAUUCGGUUAUUUCGGAUCAAGUUCGGAUAUUUAGAUUUUGAAAAAAAAAAUUAAAAUUUUCAUUUCUCAAGUUUUUUAUAUUUAAAAAUAUAACUUUCAGUUAACAAAUUUUUUAUUUUUAAUAGAUUUGGACAUAACAUUUUAAAACUAAAAAGGCAUUAAUUUAGUUAUUUUUUUUUAAUUUCGGUUGUAACCUUUUGUUAAUUUUUUAAAUAAAAAACUUGAC